AAGCAUGACUAGUCUGAUUGGACAAUGACAAACCGCCCCUGCCAACAACCAGGCUUAUUGGGUGAGAGACACGAGGAGAACGAGUGAAGUGGGGCGACACAUGAAAGAGGAGUAGGGAAAAACACUUGCGCACAUGGAAGAAGUAGCCUACUAAAGGGCUAUACAGAGAAACCACAUUCAGUGAGUAACGUCAAGUCGACGCUGGGGUAUCAGACAUUUAGAAUGCGCGUGGGUAUUUGCAAUUUGUAUUAGUGGCGUUCUUUGAAGUUUAGCUCUCCCAACGGGGGAUAAUAACCUAGCCUACUGCUAGCUCGCUGUCUGUCUGCUAGCACAGUAGUAAUAGCAUUCAGCAGUUUGUCCACAGUUAAUUAACCUAGUGGUAACAUUUUCGUCAUGUAGUCAAGUUGGUCAAUAGUCAAGUUAGUUUAGCUUCUGCUCAGUUAGCGCCACAGGUUUUCCGGACACGCUUCUGGUUCCACUGAGUGGCCGUUGAGCGAGCACCGCCACCCGGAUAGCAGCACUGGUGACCAGGGGAAAGCUUCACGCUUCUGGUUCCACUGAGUGGCCGUUGAGCGAGCACCGCCACCCGGAUAGCAGCACUGGUGACCAGGGGAAAGCUUCACGCUUCAUGCCUCAGUUCAGUGCUGACUCUGUGCAUGGAACUGACUCGAGUGGAGUUCUUGAAACUGGACACUGAACUCGACAUGUGUGGCCUUGGGACAUAGGACGUCCUCCCAGUUGGUGUUCAGGGGACUUUGACAUCUCUGUUCUAACCGGACAACCUGUUGCGAUUGGCACCUAUUACAACGACGUUCCCGCCAUAGAUAUAAUUUGGGGAUCCAGUCACGUAUCACCCUCCUUUUCACUAUUGUAGAGAUUCUGCCCAGCACGGGUCUCGUAGAUGAGCCACGCCAUGGCUUCCUCUCCCUACCCAGCUCCCGCGCCUGGGAAGACGGCCGCCCCGGCUCCCGCUCCUGCGAAGACGGCCACCCCAGCUCUAGCUCCUGCGAAGAUGGCCACCACAGCCCCCCCUCCCGCUAAGACGACCGCUCCAGCUCCUGCGAAGACGGCCACUCCAUCUUCAGCUCCUGCGAAGAC